rnacentral:rRNA from 1 species
UACGAAGGGGGCUAGCGUUGUUCGGAAUUACUGGGCGUAAAGCGUGCGCAGGCGGCCAUCCAAGUCAGGCGUGAAAGCCCUGGGCUCAACCCGGGAAUUGCGCUUGAGACUGGUGUGCUUGAGUACGGGAGAGGAUAGUGGAAUUCCCAGUGUAGAGGUGAAAUUCGUAGAUAUUGGGAAGGACACCGGUGGCGAAGGCGGCUAUCUGGACCGUAACUGACGCUGAGGCGCGAAAGCGUGGGGAGCAAACAGG